rnacentral:lncRNA from 1 species
CCAGCAUCAUGAUCAAAUAUGAUUUUGAAACUAGAUCUUGCUUUUCUGGUGUGUUUGGAUAUUCCAUGUUUGUUUUGGUGGGAGAAUUGGGCUCCGAUGAUGGCAUGUAGUCUUGGUUUCUGUUGCUUGGGUUCCUGCGCUUGCCUCUCGCCAUCAGAUUAUCUCUAGUGUUACUUUGUUCUGCUGUUUCUGACAGUGGCUAGACUGUCCUAUAAGCCUGUGUGUCAGGAGUGCUGUAGACCUGUUUUCCUGUUUUCUUUCAGCCAGUUAUGGGGACAGAGUGUUCUGCUUUCGGGCGUGUAGUUUUUCCUCUCUACAGGUCUUCAGCUGUUCCUGUGGGCCUGUGUCUUGAGGUCACCAGGCAGCUUUCUUGCAGCAGAAAAUUUGGUCUUACCUGUGGUCCCGAGGCUCAGGUUUGCUCGUGGGGUGCUGCCCAGGGGCUCUCUGCAGGGGCAGCAACCAGGAAGACCUGUGCCGCCCCUUCCGGGAGC